rnacentral:rRNA from 1 species
GCUGAAUCGCCUUGUGCAGCAGCGCGUAUCGUAGGUGCGAGCGUGUCGAUAUGGCGUAAGGGCUCGUAGUGUGAUCGCGUCGAAGUGUAAUCUGGGCUACCUGAGCGUGCUUCGAUACGGGUUGACUUGAGAAGGUAGGGGGGAAUGAAUUCCUGGUGGAGCGGUGGAAUGCGCAGAUAUCAGGAGGAACACCAGUGGCGAAGGCGGUUCUCUGAGCCUUUCCCUGACGCUGAGGAGCGAAAGCGUGGGGAGCGAACAGGCUUAGAUACCCUGGUAGUCCACGCUGUAAACGGUGGGUACUAGGUGUGGGGUCCAUUCCACGGGUUCCGCGCCGUAGCUAACGCUUUAAGUACCCCGCCUGGGGAGUACGGCCGCAAGGCUAAAACUCAAAGGAAUUGACGGGGCCCCGCACAAGCGGCGGAGCAUGCGGAUUAAUUCGAUGCAACGCGUAGAACCUUACCUGGGUUUGACAUGGAUCGGGAGUGCUCAGAGAUGGGUGUGCCUCUUUUGGGGUCGGUUCACAGGUGGUGCAUGGCUGUCGUCAGCUCGUGUCGUGAGAUGUUGGGUUAAGUCCCGCAACGAGCGCAACCCUUGUUCACUGUUGCCAGCACGUUAUGGUGGGGACUCAGUGGAGACCGCCGGGGUCAACUCGGAGGAAGGUGGGGAUGACGUCAAGUCAUCAUGCCCCUUAUGUCCAGGGCUUCACGCAUGCUACAAUGGCUGGUACAGAGAGUGGCGAGCCUGUGAGGGUGAGCGAAUCUCGGAAAGCCGGUCUCAGUUCGGAUUGGGGUCUGCAACUCGACCUCAUGAAGUCGGAGUCGCUAGUAAUCGCAGAUCAGCAACGCUGCGGUGAAUACGUUCCCGGGGCUUGCACACACCGCCCGUC